rnacentral:ncRNA from 2 species
ACUUUCAUAAAACUCCUAGCCUUAGCAUCUAAGUUCAUUAUAAAUGGAUAUGAUCCUUUGGCCGUGGCCUUAGAGCCACCAGGGUGCGAGAUAGAAAUGUCUGCAUCUCCCGUAUUUGGAAAGGUGUCAUUAUGCAGCAGCUU